rnacentral:lncRNA from 1 species
CUUUCGGCCGGAACCGCCAUCUUCCAGUAAUUCGCCAAAAUGACGAACACAAAGGGAAAGAGGAGAGGCACCCGAUAUAUGUUCUCUAGGCCUUUUAGAAAACAUGGAGUUGUUCCUUUGGCCACAUAUAUGCGAAUCUAUAAGAAAGGUGAUAUUGUAGACAUCAAGGGAAUGGGUACUGUUCAAAAAGGAAUGCCCCACAAGUGUUACCAUGGCAAAACUGGAAGAGUCUACAAUGUUACCCAGCAUGCUGUUGGCAUUGUUGUAAACAAACAAGUUAAGGGCAAGAUUCUUGCCAAGAGAAUUAAUGUGCGUAUUGAGCACAUUAAGCACUCUAAGAGCCGAGAUAGCUUCCUGAAACGUGUGAAGGAAAAUGAUCAGAAAAAGAAAGAAG